AAAACAGAAAGAUAAUAUGAUUUUAAAAAUUAAGUUAGUUUCAAAGCUGUUAAAGAAAUAUAUAGAAACUAUAAACUGUAUUUAUGUUUUUAUAGAAACUAACAAUAAUUGAAGUCAGAAUAUUUGCAAUUAUGAGAGGGGCGUAAAGAGGGUAUCUGCACGGAAGAACGCUAAAUAAAAUUGUUAUUCACGAUGAACGAAUAAAUAAAAAUGUCUUGCACAUUAAUUGAUCUUUUUUUUCGAUUUCACGAAAAUGAUGAAUAAUGGACCUUUUUCACGGUUGCAUGUGAAAUAAAAAUGGCAAAACACGUUACGCGUAAAUAACCCUUUAAUUACCAC
rnacentral:lncRNA from 1 species